rnacentral:rRNA from 1 species
UGUGGGCGCAGGAAAGCUGAGGAGAGCUGCUCCUAGUACGAGAGGACCGGAGUGGACGCACCACUGGUCUCUCAGCUGUCCCACCAGGGGCAUACGCUGAGUAGCCACGCGCGGCAAGGAUAAGCGCUGAAAGCAUCUAAGCGCGAAGCCAACUCCAAGAUGAGCUUUCCCACCCCCUCGAGGGGUUAAGACCCCCGGAAGACCACCGGGUUGAUAGGCUGGAAGUGCAAGCGCGGCAACGCGUUCAGCUGACCAGUACUAAUAGGUCGAGGACUUAACCAA